CAUAUGCUUGUCUCAAAGAUUAAGCCAUGCAUGUCUCAGUACAAGCCACAUUAAGGUGAAACCGCGAAAGGCUCAUUAAAUCAGUUAUGGUUCCUUAGAUCGUACCCACAUUUACUUGGAUAACUGUGGUAAUUCUAGAGCUAAUACAUGCAAACAGAGUUCCGACCGGAGACGGGAGGAGUGCUUUUAUUAGAUCAAAACCAAUCGGCGGCGGGUUCGCCCGUUCGCCGCUCAAUUUGGUGACUCUGAAUAACUUUCGGCUGAUCGCACGGUCUCGCACCGGCGACGCAUCUUUCAAAUGUCUGCCUUAUCAACUGUCGAUGGUAGGUUCUGCGCCUACCAUGGUCGUAACGGGUAACGGGGAAUCAGGGUUCGAUUCCGGAGAGGGAGCCUGAGAAACGGCUACCACAUCCAAGGAAGGCAGCAGGCGCGCAAAUUACCCACUCCCGGCACGGGGAGGUAGUGACGAAAAAUAACGAUACGGGACUCAUCCGAGGCCCCGUAAUCGGAAUGAGUACACUUUAAAUCCUUUAACGAGGAUCAAUUGGAGGGCAAGUCUGGUGCCAGCAGCCGCGGUAAUUCCAGCUCCAAU
rnacentral:rRNA from 1 species